rnacentral:rRNA from 1 species
UACGUAGGGGGCAAGCGUUGUCCGGAAUCAUUGGGCGUAAAGAGCGCGUAGGCGGCCCUGUAAGUCCGCUGUGAAAGUCAAGGGCUCAACCCUUGAAUGCCGGUGGAUACUGCAGGGCUAGAGUCCGGAAGAGGCGAGUGGAAUUCCUGGUGUAGCGGUGAAAUGCGCAGAUAUCAGGAGGAACACCAAUGGCGAAGGCAGCUCGCUGGGACGUGACUGACGCUGAGACGCGAAAGCGUGGGGAGCAAACAGG